rnacentral:rRNA from 1 species
GAUGAACGCUGGCGGCGUGCCUAAUACAUGCAAGUCGAACGAUGAAGUCCUAGCUUGCUAGGAUGGAUUAGUGGCGCACGGGUGAGUAAUAUAUAGUUAAUCUGCCCUACACAGAGGAACAACAGUUGGAAACGGCUGCUAAUACCUCAUACUCCUAUUUGACAUAAGUUAAAUAGGGAAAGUCUUUUCGGUGUAGGAUGAGACUAUAUCGUAUCAGCUAGUUGGUAAGGUAAUGGCUUACCAAGGCUAUGACGCGUAACUGGUCUGAGAGGAUGAUCAGUCACAUUGGAACUGAGACACGGUCCAAACUCCUACGGGAGGCAGCAGUAAGGAAUAUUGCGCAAUGGGGGAAACCCUGACGCACCAACGCCGCGUGGAGGAUGAACUUUUUUGGGGAUGGAACU